AGCUCGCUUAACGGGAUCACCGAAAAACGGCCUGAGUAACACGUGAGUAACCUGCCCUUGACUCUGGGAUAAGCCUGGGAAACUGGGUCUAAUACCGGAUAUGACUCCUCAUCGCAUGGUGGGGGGUGGAAAGCUUUUGUGGUUUUGGAUGGACUCGCGGCCUAUCAGCUUGUUGGUGGGGUAAUGGCCUACCAAGGCGACGACGGGUAGCCGGCCUGAGAGGGUGACCGGCCACACUGGGACUGAGACACGGCCCAGACUCCUACGGGAGGCAGCAGUGGGGAAUAUUGCACAAUGGGCGCAAGCCUGAUGCAGCGACGCCGCGUGAGGGAUGACGGCCUUCGGGUUGUAAACCUCUUUCAGUAGGGAAGAAGCCUUUCGGGGUGACGGUACUUGCAGAAGAAGCGCCGGCUAACUACGUGCCAGCAGCCGCGGUAAUACGUAGGGCGCAAGCGUUAUCCGGAAUUAUUGGGCGUAAAGAGCUCGUAGGCGGUUUGUCGCGUCUGCUGUGAAAGACCGGGGCUCAAC
rnacentral:rRNA from 3 species